rnacentral:lncRNA from 1 species
CUUUUAAUCCUGCCCCUCCUCCCAAAGCCUGCCGCAGCUUUCCAUUUCCCUUAAAAUAAAUUCUGACUGGCUACCGGGGGCCUCGGAGCCUCCGCUCGUACCCGGGGCUGCGGCCCGGAGGCCUUGCCCACCUCCCCGGCCGUGGAGGAAGCUCGGCCGCCCGCCGUCGCUUAGCUGCGGGCCCUCCUCGCGUAUACUCCGCGUGAUUAGUGACCGAGGGCGCGCGGUGUGUGCUUUUUUUGCUUCCGUCUUGACCGUGAACAUCAUCAGAUCACGGACCAAUAUUGGGUCCUGGAAAAAAAAAGUAGUGGGUGGUGACUAUAAAAAUGCAAUAGGCUGGGCGCGGUGGCUCACGCCUGUAAUCCCAACACUUUGGGAGGCGGAGGCGGGCGGAUCACUUGAGGUGAGGAGUUCAAGACCAGCCUGGGCAAAAUGGUGAAACCCUGUCUCUACUCUAAAAAUACAAAAAAACUAGCCGGGCGUGGUGACAGACACGUGUAAUCCCCAGCUACUCGGGAGUCUGAGGCAGGAGAAUCGCUUGAGCCUGAGACGUGAAGAUUGCAGUCAGCAGAGAUCUCACCACUGCAUUCCAGCCUGGGCGACAGAGCUAGACCCCGUCUCAAGAAAAAUAAUAAUAAAAAUGAAAUAGAAUAAGCUAGAAGAUAUCAGAUGGCGUGGUGGGUGGCUCAUGCCUGUAAUCUCAGCACUCUGGGAGGCCGAAGCGGGAAGAUCACUGGAGGCCAGGAGUUUGAGAUCAGCCUGGGCGACAUAUGGAGACCCCAUCUCUACAAAAAAAAAAAAAACUUUAAAAAAAAUUGGGCGAGUGUGGGGGCACAUACUUGUAGUUCCAGCUCCUGGGGAGGUGGAGGCAGAGGCGGGAGGAUCACUUGAGCCCAGGAGUUGGAGGCUGCAAUGAGCUGUGAUUGGACUACUGCACGCAGGGGUGGCAGCAAGACCCUAUUUCUAAAGGAAAAAAAGAAAAUAAUAGUAUCUCGCAUGGUGAAAGUAAGUAUUAUUUUGUGAAAUAUUUAAUUCACCUGUUUGUGUAAGUGUGGACUUGGUAAGGACCUAGAAUGUGUUUCUGACUAUAAUAAGAAGAUCUUACCUGCCCUGCAGGGUAGACGCUGUGACUCCCCAUUUGACAGAAGGGGAAACAGAGGCCCAGCACGGGGGAGUCACGCAGAGAAGUUGCAGUCUGGCCUGGUGGCAUCCUCCACAGGCUUGGGGCCGCAUCACACUGUCUCUUGUCUCUUCACAAAGGUGAAGCCAACCUGCUCCCACCAGAGCCCGGCAAUGGCCAGUAAGAGAACAGUGAUGAGUUUAAGGAAGGGGACACAGGAAGCAGAAGAGAAGAGGGAAAAUUCAGUUUCAUCUGCCAAGAUUGACCUGUACAUUCUAGAAUUGCUUCUUGGCUCCUGGAACAUCAUAUGCAGGAAGAGAACAGAGACAGCAAAGCCAUGGAGUCAGCCCAGCUCAGGGAGGAGAGGUCUCCAGCGACUGGGGCAUCUGGCCCUGGGAAGCGCGACCCAGACUCUCAGCUUCUCAACACAGCACAUCCUUCCCCACUUGGAUAUACAGGGUGCACCUGUCAGGAGGAGGUGCCAACCAGGUCUCCUGAGUGAGCUGGCCUGGUGAUCCCAUGUGGAGUCAAAGUCCUUCUGUCCCCCCACCCCACCCCAUUUUCCAAGUAAGGAAAUCCAAGGUCACAAAUCCUGUA